GGUGCCUGAAAUAGGUUGCCUGUGAGGUGUUCACUUUCUAUACGAUGAAUAUUAUACAGUCAACCUCUUUCCGGUGUC
rnacentral:pre_miRNA from 1 species